CGGACGGGUGAGUAAUGUCUGGGAAACUGCCUGAUGGAGGGGGAUAACUACUGGAAACGGUAGCUAAUACCGCAUAACGUCGCAAGACCAAAGAGGGGGACCUUCGGGCCUCUUGCCAUCGGAUGUGCCCAGAUGGGAUUAGCUAGUGGUGGGGUAACGGCUCACCUAGGCGACGAUCCCUAGCUGGUCUGAGAGGAUGCCAGCCACACUGGAACUGAGACACGGUCCAG
rnacentral:rRNA from 1 species